rnacentral:rRNA from 1 species
GAUGAACGCUGGCGGCGUGCCUAAUACAUGCAAGUCGAGCGAACAGACGAGGAGCUUGCUCCUCUGACGUUAGCGGCGGACGGGUGAGUAACACGUGGAUAACCUACCUAUAAGACUGGGAUAACUUCGGGAAACCGGAGCUAAUACCGGAUAAUAUAUUGAACCGCAUGGUUCAAUAGUGAAAGACGGUUUUGCUGUCACUUAUAGAUGGAUCCGCGCCGCAUUAGCUAGUUGGUAAGGUAACGGCUUACCAAGGCAACGAUGCGUAGCCGACCUGAGAGGGUGAUCGGCCACACGUGAACUGAGACACGGUCCAGACUCCUACGGGAGGCAGCAGUAGGGAAUCUUCCGCAAUGGGCGAAAGCCUGACGGAGCAACGCCGCGUGAGUGAUGAAGGUCUUCGGAUCGUAAAACUCUGUUAUUAGGGAAGAACAAAUGUGUAAGUAACUAUGCACGUCUUGACGGUACCUAAUCAGAAAGCCACGGCUAACUACGUG